rnacentral:rRNA from 1 species
GAUGAACGCUGGCGGCGUGCCUAACACAUGCAAGUCGAACGAAGCACUCUAUUUGAUUUUCUUCGGAAAUGAAGAUUUUGUGACUGAGUGGCGGACGGGUGAGUAACGCGUGGGUAACCUGCCUCAUACAGGGGGAUAACAGUUGGAAACGACUGCUAAUACCGCAUAAGCGCACAGGAUCGCAUGAUCUGGUGUGAAAAACUCCGGUGGUAUGAGAUGGACCCGCGUCUGAUUAGCCAGUUGGCAGGGUAACGGCCUACCAAAGCGACGAUCAGUAGCCGACCUGAGAGGGUGACCGGCCACAUUGGGACUGAGACACGGCCCAAACUCCUACGGGAGGCAGCAGUGGGGAAUAUUGCACAAUGGGGGAAACCCUGAUGCAGCGACGCCGCGUGAGCGAAGAAGUAUUUCGGUAUGUAAAGCUCUAUCAGCAGGGAAGAAGAAUGACGGUA